rnacentral:rRNA from 1 species
AAUGCCUGUACCAUAACCGACACAGGUGGGUAGGUAGAGUAUACUAAGGGGCGCGAGAUAACUCUCUCUAAGGAACUCGGCAAAAUGACUCCGUAACUUCGGGAGAAGGAGUGCCUUAUUUAUAAGGUUGCAAUAACAAGAUCCAAGCAACUGUUUAUCAAAAACACAGGUCUCCGCUAAGUCGUAAGACGAUGUAUGGGGGCUGACGCCUGCCCAGUGCCAGAAGGUUAAAGAAGUUGGUUAGUGUAUGCGAAGCUGAUGACUGAAGCCCUGGUGAACGGCGGCCGUAACUAUAACGGUCCUAAGGUAGCGAAAUUCCUUGUCGGGUAAGUUCCGACCCGCACGAAAGGCGUAAUGAUUUGGAUACUGUCUCGGAGAGAGGCUCGGUGAAAUAGACUUGUCUGUGAAGAUGCGGACUACCUGCACCAGGACAGAAAGACCCUAUGAAGCUUUACUGUAACUUGAAAUUGGAAUUGGACUUUGCUUGCGCAGUAUAGGUGGGAAGCGUUGAAAAUAUUCUUGCGGGAGUAUUGGAGCUAUCAGUGAGAUACCACUCUUGUAAUGUUAGAUUUCUAACUUUGAACCAUAAUCUGGUCAAAGAACAGUUUCAGGUGGGCAGUUUGACUGGGGCGGUCGCCUCCCAAAUGGUAACGGAGGCGUACAAAGGUUUCCUCUGAACGGAUAGAAAUCGUAUCUAGAGUGUAAAGGCAUAAGGAAGCUUGACUGUGAGACCUACAAGUCGAGCAGGGACGAAAGUCGGUCUUAGUGAUCUGACGGUACUGAGUGGAAAGGCCGUCACUCAACGGAUAAAAGUUACUCUAGGAUAACAGGCUGAUCUCCCCCAAGAGUUCACAUCGACGGGGAGGUUUGGCACCUCGAUGUCGGCUCAUCGCAUCCUGGGGCGGUAGUACGUCCCAAGGGUUGGGCUGUUCGCCCAUGAAAGCGGUACGCGAGCUGGGUUCAGAACGUCGUGAGACAGUUCGGUCCAUAUCCGGUGUAGGCGCUAGAAUAUUGAGAGGAGCCUUCUUUAGUACGAGAGGACCGAGAAGGACACACCGCUGGUGUACCAGUUAUCGUGCCAACGGUAAACGCUGGGUAGCUAUGUGUGGAGUGGAUAACCGCUGAAAGCAUCUAAGUGGGAAGCCCACCUCGAGAUGAGUAUUCUCAUCACUAUAAGUGAGUAAGGUCACGGUAAGACUAACCGUUUGAUAGGCAUUAAGUGUAAAUGUAGUAAUGCAUGUGCUGAGAUGUCCUAACAGACCGAGGAC